ACUUCGCGAAUCCACCUCCUUAAUCAAAAAAAUCAAGAAAAUAGAGAUCGGUUCUUGAUUUCUUGAACGAAGAAAAUCAAGAAAGAACUGUCAAUCAUUCUGUUACAGAUGUCGAACCCUAACCCCCCACCUCCUCCAACCUCGUUCUCAACUCCCACUCUCUUAUAUUACAAUCACUGUUAUAUAUCUGAUUUAAUACACACACAGAUACAUCUCAUAACAUCAUCUAGAGUAAGUUUGAGAAGCAAUCACAAAUACGGAGAAAAACAAAAUCCAACAUUCAUAAACCCUAAAAAAUGGUUCAAUCCCCUCCCUCGUUUAAACUCUUUGAUUCGACUGAAUUCCCAUCAAUCCUGGAAUUUCUACAACACCAACACCAAGAAAACUUCGCUCUCCAUUUCGAGUUCCUGAUUGUAAUACAACAAAAUCUUUCUCAUCUGAGAAAAUGGAAAGAUUAGUUGCUGAUUCCGUGUCUCCACUUCCGAUUGUCAUCAGUUCUUCUGCACACAGUUUGGCGCUUCAAUCAGAACCAAGAAAGAAAAGGAGAAAGUUAAUGACAUUGAGAUGAGCUCUCAACAAAUGCCACAAAUUCUUGGCAUCUCACAUUUGGAUGAGUUCCCAUCUAUAUCUGAAUCUCUAUCUAGACAAGCCUGUGUUGCACCAGGUAAAAUUGAAAGAAAGCUCGUUAUUCCAAUAGGCUCUCCACUUCCAGAUGUUAAAAGUGACAUGAGUGUCACCACCUCCUCUUCCUACAGGAGUGGAAAAAGAGGCAAAAAGGACUUUAUUGAACUGAUGAUGCACAUAUGACAUACCUAUAAAUUUGAGAAGAAUCAGCAAGUUAGAAAAAGAUGGUUGCUUAAGAAGUAAGAAAAAGAUGGUUGCAAGUUAGAAAGAAGUGCAAAGAGUGUAGAGUUGGAGACAUUUGGUAGACUAAUAUUCAUUGUUAAUGUGUUUCUGUAGCUUAGAGCAACUGCAAUGGACGACUAAAUUCAGAUUUUUGGUCCAAAAACUGCAAUGGACGACUAAA